rnacentral:rRNA from 1 species
GAGGAGUUGGCGAUGAACAAGGUCAAGGAUGUGGCUGAACUUUAUGUUCUGGCCGAUAGAUGUGAUCGAGCUGAAGAGGGGAGGAUGUACCCCGGCGAGGACGCCGGUGCGGAAACCGACUCCACAGACGAAGACACCGCCGCUCCAACGAAGAAGGGCCGGCACUGCAACAGGAAGCGCAAGGGCAAGACUAUGCUUGCUGUUGAGGGAUCCAGCGAGCUCGGCGCCACCAAAAAGGCCAAGCCUGACGACCCCGACAAGGAGGUUCUCGGGUGCGCCGCCUGCUUGGCCCUGGCGGCUGUCGGCAAGCCAGGAGGCUCCGACAAGCAGUAUUGCAAG